rnacentral:rRNA from 1 species
CCUACGGGAGGCUGCAGUGAGGAAUAUUGGUCAAUGGGCGCGAGUCUGAACCAGCCAAGUCGCGUGAGGGAUGAAGGUUCUAUGGAUCGUAAACCUCUUUUAUAAGGGAAUAAAGUGUGGGACGUGUCCUAUUUUGUAUGUACCUUAUGAAUAAGGAUCGGCUAACUCCGUGCCAGCAGCCGCGGUAAUACGGAGGAUCCGAGCGUUAUCCGGAUUUAUUGGGUUUAAGGGGUGCGUAGGCGGCCUUUUAAGUCAGCGGUGAAAGUCUGUGGCUCAACCAUAGAAUUGCCGUUGAAACUGGGGGGCUUGAGGAUGUUUGAGGCAGGCGGAAUGCGUGGUGUAGCGGUGAAAGGCUUAGAUAUCACGCAGAACCCCGAUUGCGAAGGCAGCCUGCCAAGCCAUGACUGACGCUGAUGCACGAAAGCGUGGGGAUCAAACAGGAUUAGAUACCCUGGUAGUC